rnacentral:rRNA from 1 species
UACGUAGGGGGCAAGCGUUAUCCGGAAUUAUUGGGCGUAAAGAGUACGUAGGUGGCAACCUAAGCGCAGGGUUUAAGGCAAUGGCUCAACCAUUGUUCGCCCUGCGAACUGGGAUGCUUGAGUGCAGGAGAGGAAAGCGGAAUUCCUAGUGUAGCGGUGAAAUGCGUAGAUAUUAGGAGGAACACCGGUGGCGAAGGCGGCUUUCUGGACUGAAACUGACGCUGAGGCACGAAAGCGUGGGGAGCAAACAGG